rnacentral:rRNA from 1 species
CUUUCAACAACGGAUCUCUUGGUUCCAGCAUAGAYGAAGAACGCAGCGAAAUACUAUAAGUAAYGUGAAUUGCAGAAUUCAGUGAAUCAUCGAAUCUUYGAACGCACAUUGCGCCCCUCGGUAUUCCGGGGGGCAUGCCU